UCCAAUUAAUUUUGAAAACUGUCUUCUCUUGCGCCCUCGGUAAGGCUCGAGUGAGGUAUGAUAUUGGGCCGCCUAUUUUUAAUAAAAUGAAUAUAUUUGAACUAAAAUUUGGACUGAAAGGUUUGGAUCAGCAACUGUAGUGCUGGAAGAGCCCGUCUUCAACCCUCUGCGAGAAGCGUGCUCUCCGCAGAAAGGAUCAGGCUGUCUCCAGGGGAGCUUCCCGGGCGGGCCAUGCCGCCGCCCCGCCCCUGCUCGGAGCUGGGCGCUGCGGACCAGCACCCUGCCUGUCCCUGCCGCGUUCUCACGCAGCCAGAGCGUACUCGGAUCGCGGCUCAGCAGGGGAACGUUCCGAGGCUACGCUGGGUCGGCCGUCUCGGUUCUAUGCAGACUAUGGCUGAGGCUACAGGCGGCCAGGUCCGGACAAACGCACUGGCCUCUCCCGGUGACGCUGAACCCCAGCCGCCAGCGCCCUCCUUCCCGUGGACACUGUGGCCUUCUGCGAGUGCAGGGAGGCGGCCGGGCCGGUCUGUGCCCUCACUGUGUCCCCUCUGGUCUGUCUGACCCUUGAUGUCGUGGACCAAACCUGAGUCUCGGGAGUGUGGCCCAUCGAGGCCCUAGGGUUCCUUCAGCCCCAGCUCUGAGGGUUCUAGCCUCCUGCUCCCCUGCGGGCAUCCUGCGGCGGUCUCAGAGUCUCUAGCACUCGGGCUUUGUCUGGGCGGCCGCGUUCCUCUUUGUCCCUGUGCCUCUGUCUCGGGUUUCGGAUACUCCCUUCCCCUGGGCUCUGACUGAGGCUCUGACUGUCCAUCCUUAGGUCCACCUUCCCCAAUAACCUGUUUCUUUGCCGCCCUCCCAGCCUAGCCAGUCCCUCUUCUACCCACCCUACCCAUAACCACCUCCAACAAAAACUGUUGGAAACUGGGUAAAAGUGAAGCAGACGCUCAGGUUGCUCCGGAAUGAAAGCCGCUGCAGAGCAACCGACCUCACAGUGGGGCCCGGCCUCGCCUUCCUGGCUGCUGCUGCGCUCGGCCGCGCGGUCGCGGCGUCCCAAACCCCUUGGCAUCCCUCUCCCGCCUGCGGACGCCGGCGUCUCCUUUCCGAGCCUGGGGGCUGUAAAGGUUGAGCCAGAGGCGAUGCGUCUGAGCGCACCACCUUGGGAUUCUUCAGCUACCGUUGGUGAUCAAGGAGAUGUCCGAGCUACAGCGGAGCCUCGGGGCACCCCGUGUGGAAGUGGGUGAAAAAGUUACUCCCUAAGGGAACGAAGGGUCCACUGCCAUUCGCCGGCUUCGAGGUUCGCCGCGCCGCUCCCGGCCGCCCCUGCCCAGCCCGCCCGCUAACCCGAGAGCGGCGCGCUCUCCCGUGCGCCUCCGGUCUAGCGCGGCGCUCCCAGCAGCCGCGUUCAGCCCCGAGGUGCACCGUACACCCGUCGUUUCCAGAGGGCUGCAGGUGUUUGGUGUGCGAGUGGGCGUCUCUGUGCGUGCAUGGGUGCAGUGGCAGGCAGUGCGGGAGGUGUGUGGGGCGGUAUGGGUGGCGGGUGUUAGGGAAGCACGGCACGCGGAACGCUUCGAAUCGCAGAGCCAGCAACUCCCGGCCCCUGCGCCAAGUGCGUUGCAGGAUCGUACUAUCCCGGGUCGCCAAACGGAAGCCGGUGGUCCCAAGGGCCCCAGGGUGAGUUCUGCCGGGGAGGAACCUGAGUUAGGGGACCCCCAAGAGCCUGCCUUCUGCGUUUGCAUCACCCAGAUGUCAGAUCGCCUGUCUCCUCCAAAGAGCCCUGACAUCUCGGCUACCUUUCCCGAGGCCCUUGGGAGGAGGGGAUUCUUCGCUCCCGUUGCCUCUGAGCUUCCCAAGGGCUUCGGCUUCCAAGAAGAGGCAGGAGAUAGUUGUCCCUUCCUCUUCCUCUUUUCCAAAGGCAACUGGCACUUGCAAUGUUCCCUGCUUCACACAGUGGCCAUCAGAUUCUAACCCAAUGCUUCUUAACAGGUAUUCUUGGGCUUCUGUAUCCUGGUGGCCUUAAGCACCCAAAGGAUACAGCAGGUCCCAGUAGGGAGCCAGUUACCCCAACUCUGCAGAGCCUUUUCCCAGCUCCCUCCCUUGAAGACCAGGGACACCCAACGCCACCCCCACGCACACUCACACUGGGAAUGGGAAUUUAUUAUUAAAGCUAUUUUACCCGCUUC